rnacentral:rRNA from 1 species
UGGCGACCGGCGCACGGGUGAGUAACGCGUAUGCAACCUGCCCGAUACCGGGGUAUAGCCCAUGGAAACGUGGAUUAACACCCCAUAGUACUUUUAUCCUGCAUGGGAUGUGAGUUAAAUGUUCAAGGUAUCGGAUGGGCAUGCGUCCUAUUAGUUAGUUGGCGGGGUAACAGCCCACCAAGACGAUGAUAGGUAGGGGUUCUGAGAGGAGGGUCCCCCACAUUGGAACUGAGACACGGUCCAA